GUGAGAGUAGCUCAGUUGGUUAGAGCACCUGAUUGUGGUUCAGGGGGUCGGGGGUUCGAUUCCCCUCUCUCACCCCA
rnacentral:tRNA from 1 species